CUGGAGAUGGGGAGAAGGGCACGGAAAGUGCUGGGCUGUGCCUCUCCCACGGAGGGGCUCAUGGGGGAAAGUCGGGCACUUGGCAGCUCACCAAAGCCGCAGGGCUCUCAGUGAAUAGCUGCAGUCACCGCCGGAGCGGUGAGCCAUGCACAGCUCAUCCCCGCGGCGCGAUGUGAGCCGGGGGCACCGCGGGGAGGGGGCACAGAGCCCCCGGGACCGGCCUUUGUCCGGGAUGCCGGCGGCACUGACGGGAACGCGGCGGCGCUGGCUGCCCUUUGUGCACGGAACAAAGAACAGCCAGAGGCUUCCUUCGCUGUCACAAGCGGGAAGGAGCCAGAGAGGGAAGCGUCACUCGGCGGAGGUGGGCAGCGGGCCGGUGGUGCUCGGUCCGCUGCCACCGGGCCACAAACGGGCAGCACCAGCUAAUGGCACCUCCCCGGCCACCCUGCAGGUUGUAUUGCUUCAACUCCGGAAGUGUCUGGUCACCUUGAGGAGCUCUGCUCGGAGUCUGCCUUCCUCAGUGAGAGCGGGAGGAAAGCCGAGUAUCAGUGCACUUACUCACUUCCCAUCCUCUCUCCACCCAAACUCGUCUGCUCGAUGCCAGGACAAAGCCCUGCUCACCCAUUUUACUGCCGCCCCAGGGCUGCGGGUGGCCUCCAUCCCUGCACUGGAUUUGGGGCGAGAGGAAGGGCUUCUAGCGUGGUGCGGUCAUGGGCGAAAACCCAGGGUCGGGGUGGUUUUGGGAUGCCACAGCCUUACAGCCACCCUUAUCAGCCUGCAGCCGGGCUGGCACCAAAUGGAUUUGGGGGAUGUAGCCGGAGACCCCCCGCUUUUGACAGUGCCUUGUGAGAUGCGCAGUGGCAGCUCCUCAAGGGGGCUCAGAGUCCCCUCCCAUUUGUCGGGGGACACUUUGGCACCGCUCAGCGGCGCCGCCGCCGUCCCGCAUCGCCACCGGCCGUCCCUGCGCAUGGAUAUUCCCGGCCUGGGACCUUUCCUGCGAUCCUUGUGCCAUCUAGUGGGACCUGCACCAACCACACGGCGGGGUGUCCGCCCCCCCCCCCCCCCCCCCCCCCCCCCCCCCCCCCCCCCCCCCCCCCCCCCCCCCCCCC
rnacentral:lncRNA from 1 species